ACACCCAAAUCUAGUAAUGCCUUCUUAAUCGUGAGGUCCCCUAUGACACAAGAUAUAAUUUGGGUACCAAGAUUCUUAAAUUUGGAUGGGGCAAUUUACUGAAAGAUUGAGCUGGUCUGCUCAGUCAGGUGGACCUUCUUCAGUGUGUGUGCCUUAAAUCUUUGUUUUUAUGUGCACAUGUCCUUUAGAAAUUUAGCAUAGGUCAGGACUUGCUUAAUGGUAUCAAGAAGGGGUAAGUUUAUCUGGACCUGUUUAAACAGUUCUAGCAUUUCAUUCAUUUUUAUAUCCUUCUUAUCUAAAGGUAGAGAGGAUUGAUUCUAAAGCACUUGAAAAUGGGGUCUUAAAUGCAGGUGCCGAGUCAGUGAGUUCUUUCCUCUCUUCAGGUUUCUUCUUUUUCGGCUUGGCCGGCAUUGGUUGCUCUGGUUGUUGGGUCACUUCAGAUUGAUUUAAGAUUUUUCCACUUCUAAGGGUUAUGACCGAUUUGGCAUAUUCGAAAAAAGUUUCUGGGCUAGUGGAGCUCUCAGCCAUGUACUGUCCUUUUGGAUUACUGAUGGGCUGGCGGGUAGUUUGCCCUCCUCCCUCCUACUGAAAGCUAUCGCUAGUUAACCUAUCUGGAUCUUUAGCUUUGCAAUAGAUUGUAUGUGGGAGUGAAGGAUCUGGGUGUUCAUCUCCAGCCCCUUAAGUGCUUGCAGCAUCUUCUCCUUAAAGGCAGUGUUUGGAGAAUUUGUUGCAUGUUCCAUGCAUACAGUGGGUAUGGAGCCGAUUUAUUGACUCCCUUAGGAUAACUAGGUCAU
rnacentral:lncRNA from 1 species